GAUGAACGCUGGCGGCGUGCCUAAUACAUGCCAGUCGAGCGAACGGACGAGAAGCUUGCUUCUCUGAUGUUAGCGGCGGACGGGUGAGUAACACGUGGAUAACCGACCUAUAAGACUGGGAUAACUUCGGGAAACCGGAGCUAAUACCGGAUAAUAUUUUGAACCGCAUGGUUCAAAAGUGAAAGACGGUCUUGCUGUCACUUAUAGAUGGAUCCGCGCUGCAUUAGCUAGUUGGUAAGGUAACGGCAUACCAAGGCAACGAUGCGUAGCCGACCUGAGAGGGUGAUCGGCCACCCUGGAAAUGAGACACGGUCCAGACUGCUACGGGAGGCAGCAGUAGGGAAUCUUGCGCAAUGGGCGAAAGCCUGACGACGCAACGCCGCGUGAGUGAUGAAGAUCUUCGGAUCGUAAAACUCUGUUAUUAGGGAAGAACCUGUGUGUCAGUAACACUGCACGUCAGGGCGGUACCUAGUCAGAGAAGCACCGCUAACUCCGUG
rnacentral:rRNA from 1 species